ensembl:lncRNA
CCCCCCCCCCCGCUCCCUCCCUCCCAACAGUGUAAUGCCGUUAACCAGUACAGGAACCAUGUACAGCAGCUCCCACUCUGCAUGGUGUGGAAUCAGAGUUUACAGCAGGAGACCGUCGCCCCACGAGGUCAGAACACCGUGUUAAGGUGAGCCGACUCCUCAAACCAGAGGGCCCGCCCAGGUGUACCGCUCCGCUAACGAGGUAUACCGCUCCGCUAACGAGGUGUACCGAUCCCCUAACGAGGUGUACCGCUCCCCUUUACGAGGUGAUCCCCUAACGAGGUGUACCGCUCCCCUUUACGAGGUGAUCCCCUAACGAGGCGUACCGCUCCACUAACGAGGUGUACCGCUCCCCUUUACGAGGUGUACCGAUGCCCUAACGAGGUGUACCGCUCCACUAACGAGGUGUUCCGCUCCCCUAACGAGGUGUACCGAUGCCCUAACGAGGUUCACCGCUCCCCUAUUGAGGUGAGGCUCAGCCGUUUAGACCCCUAAUCGCUCACCGAUGUUAACAAGUCAUCCAUUAGGAGUUUUAAAUGAGGGAAAGUAAAAAGCAAUAAACCUGUUCAGAAACGAUGAGGAAGCAGAAAAUCCCUUUAAUUCCCAGCCUAUGACGAAUAGUAGUUGUACUUGUCAUACAAGCCACAGGUUAUUGGACUGCUUCAACAACAGAGAUGAGACGUGCAUGUCACUACAGGAAGAAUGGUGGAUCUGGAUAGGUAUAGAUAGAUAUAUCUAAGAUAAACGAUUGGUUUAGUCAUCAUUGAAGCAGACAUAAUAAAUGGGACAUUAUAAACCAAAUAAAUAGCCAGUGUGUGCAUUAAAAAAUAUCACAUAUAUAAUCAGAAAACGGUAUAUUUAAGGUUAUUCUACAUUUACAAUAAGCCAACCUCAGUCUGAGCGCGAUUGGCCAGGGGACUGUAGUUCAAAUCAGCAGAAUGUGGUCGGAGCGAGGAGACUCGACAGGUGGCUACAGGCCUCGAGGAAUGCAGCUGAAUGGUGGAACAGGUCUGUUCUUCGACCUGAUCCUGCAUCCGCUUGGAUUCAUACCACAAAUCGACAACAAUGAACGCCGCAGGGAAUGGACCGUGCUGGUGAUUUCCACGUGCUGGCCGUUGACCCGGUACACAACAAGGCGAUUGUUUUUGUCAAGAGUCCUGGUAGAAUAUGCGGCCAUGAAUAAAAAUCUUGUAGGUUAUAUUUUUGGUGCCUAAUAAAUCAGCUUGAUUAAAAAUAAAAAACAUCCUUCAUCACUCAUUACGGACAUAAUUGUAUUAUUACGCGUCUCGUGAUUGAUCAAAAUAAAGAUGAUAAUGGAAGUCAUUGUAAUUGUGGCCCCUAGAGGCCAUGUGCUGGGUCGGGCCCCGAGAGCGAUCUGCUGGGGGCCCCUCUCGCACUGUCCCUUCUCUCAUCGAGGCUCCCAGAGCCGUCCGUGUCACUGGGGCCUCACGACGUCCCUGAAGAGGAACAGGAGGUCAGGGUCAGAGAGAGGGGGGC